UACGUAGGGCGCAAGCGUUGUCCGGAAUUAUUGGGCGUAAAGAGCUCGUAGGCGGUUUGUCGCGUCUGUCGUGAAAGCUUGGGGCUUAACCCCAAGUCUGCGGUGGAUACGGGCAGACUAGAGGCAGGUAGGGGAGAACGGAAUUCCCGGUGUAGCGGUGAAAUGCGCAGAUAUCGGGAGGAACACCGGUGGCGAAGGCGGUUCUCUGGGAAUGUCCUGACGCUGAGGAGCGAAAGUGUGGGGAGCGAACAGG
rnacentral:rRNA from 1 species